rnacentral:lncRNA from 1 species
UCGAAUGCAUUUGCGUCAUAAUUGAUAUAAAUUGCCAUCAAAAACUUUCGACAAUUUCCAUUUCAAAUAUAGAAAUUUAUUCAAACGUUUUUAGAGAAGUCUUCACGAGUUAAACAUGUACUUCCUGUACUGAGUGCUACGCAUGCGUGAAAGUAUUUAUGACUAUUUAUAGACCCUGAUUAAAAUUGUAAAAUACGAAAUCAUUUAAAAUCAAUUAAACGAGAGAUACAAAUAUAUAUCUCUUACUAAAAG